GAACGCUAGCGGCAGGCUUAACACAUGCAAGUCGAGGGGUAUUGGUUUUCGGACCAAGAGACCGGCGCACGGGUGCGUAACGCGUAUGCAAUCUACCUUUUACAGGGGAAUAGCCCAGAGAAAUUUGGAUUAAUGCCCCAUAGUAUGUAUUAAUUGCAUGAUUGAUAUAUUAAAGUACCAACGGUAAAAGAUGAGCAUGCGUCCCAUUAGUUAGUUGGUAAGGUAACGGCUUACCAAGACGAUGAUGGGUAGGGGUCCUGAGAGGGAGAUCCCCCACACUGGUACUGAGACACGGACCAGACUCCUACGGGAGGCAGCAGUGAGGAAUAUUGGACAAUGGGCGCAAGCCUGAUCCAGCCAUGCCGCGUGCAGGAAGACGGU
rnacentral:rRNA from 1 species